rnacentral:misc_RNA from 1 species
AACUUUCAGCAAUGGAACUCUUGGCUCUCGCAUCGAUGAAGAACGCAGCGAAAUGCGAUACGUAAUGUGAAUUGCAGAAUUCAGUGAAUCAUCGAAUCUUUGAACGCACCUUGCGCCCCUUGGUAUUCCGAGGGGCACACCCGCUUGAGAGUCGUGAAAAUCUCAACCUUCUCGGAUGCUUCUGGACACCGAAGGAGGCCCGGACUUUUGAGGCCUUUGCUGGCGUCUCUCGCCAGCGCCUCUAAAAUGAAUUAGUGGGGUCCUCUUUGACGAUCCUCGACGUGUGAUAAGCUGUUUCCAUGUCUUGGUUUAUGGCUCUGUUGCUUUUGGGACCCGCUUCUAACCGUCUCAACGAGACAACGUUCGAGCGUGUCGAACACUCUUGAACCCACGAACCCUUGACCUCAAAUCGGGUGAGACUACCCGCUGAACUUAAGCAUAUCAAUAAGCGGAGGCU